CGUCUGGAAAGGCGCGUGAUACAGGGUGACAGCCCCGUACACAAAAAUGCACAUGCUGUGAGCUCGAUGAGUAGGGCGGGACACGUGGUAUCCUGUCUGAAUAUGGGGGGACCAUCCUCCAAGGCUAAAUACUCCUGACUGACCGAUAGUGAACCAGUACCGUGAGGGAAAGGCGAAAAGAACCCCGGCGAGGGGAGUGAAAAAGAACCUGAAACCGUGUACGUACAAGCAGUGGGAGCACGCUUAGGCGUGUGACUGCGUACCUUUUGUAUAAUGGGUCAGCGACUUAUAUUCUGUAGCAAGGUUAACCGAAUAGGGGAGCCGAAGGGAAACCGAGUCUUAACUGGGCGUUAAGUUGCAGGGUAUAGACCCGAAACCCGGUGAUCUAGCCAUGGGCAGGUUGAAGGUUGGGUAACACUAACUGGAGGACCGAACCGACUAAUGUUGAAAAAUUAGCGGAUGACUUGUGGCUGGGGGUGAAAGGCCAAUCAAACCGGGAGAUAGCUGGUUCUCCCCGAAAGCUAUUUAGGUAGCGCCUCGUGAAUUCAUCUCCGGGGGUAGAGCACUGUUUCGGCAAGGGGGUCAUCCCGACUUACCAACCCGAUGCAAACUGCGAAUACCGGAGAAUGUUAUCACGGGAGACACACGGCGGGUGCUAACGUCCGUCGUGAAGAGGGAAACAACCCAGACCGCCAGCUAAGGUCCCAAAGUCAUGGUUAAGUGGGAAACGAUGUGGGAAGGCCCAGACAGCCAGGAUGUUGGCUUAGAAGCAGCCAUCAUUUAAAGAAAGCGUAAUAGCUCACUGGUCGAGUCGGCCUGCGCGGAAGAUGUAACGGGGCUAAACCAUGCACCGAAGCUGCGGCAGCGACGCUUAUGCGUUGUUGGGUAGGGGAGCGUUCUGUAAGCCUGUGAAGGUGUACUGUGAGGUAUGCUGGAGGUAUCAGAAGUGCGAAUGCUGACAUAAGUAACGAUAAAGCGGGUGAAAAGCCCGCUCGCCGGAAGACCAAGGGUUCCUGUCCAACGUUAAUCGGGGCAGGGUGAGUCGACCCCUAAGGCGAGGCCGAAAGGCGUAGUCGAUGGGAAACAGGUUAAUAUUCCUGUACUUGGUGUUACUGCGAAGGGGGGACGGAGAAGGCUAUGUUGGCCGGGCGACGGUUGUCCCGGUUUAAGCGUGUAGGCUGGUUUUCCAGGCAAAUCCGGAAAAUCAAGGCUGAGGCGUGAUGACGAGGCACUACGGUGCUGAAGCAACAAAUGCCCUGCUUCCAGGAAAAGCCUCUAAGCAUCAGGUAACAUCAAAUCGUACCCCAAACCGACACAGGUGGUCAGGUAGAGAAUACCAAGGCGCUUGAGAGAACUCGGGUGAAGGAACUAGGCAAAAUGGUGCCGUAACUUCGGGAGAAGGCACGCUGAUAUGUAGGUGAAGUCCCUCGCGGAUGGAGCUGAAAUCAGUCGAAGAUACCAGCUGGCUGCAACUGUUUAUUAAAAACACAGCACUGUGCAAACACGAAAGUGGACGUAUACGGUGUGACGCCUGCCCGGUGC
rnacentral:rRNA from 1 species